rnacentral:lncRNA from 7 species
GCAAACAUUGGACAGGAUCAUUGCUUUGGUUUUCGUGGGCUGUUAAGAUGGUUGAGAUCAACGGAUUGAAUUCCUCUGUGCAAGACAGGGACUGGUUCCAUUUGAAUCGCGCUAGUGGGCUCAAUAACUGCAAUUCCUUUUUAACUUGAGUUUUCACUGAUCUUUAUUAUAAUAAUUAUACCUAGCGGCAAUCACCCUCCCUGGUACACACACAAAAAAGUUCAUUAUAUGACACAGAGAUGAAGUGGCUCAUUUUCCCCCUGUUCUAAUUUGGUAAAUGGUGAUUACAGAGGUAGGAGCUCAGCGAAACCCAAUGAGCCUUGAUGCGUUAGUUAGAUUUUUAGCAAGUCAUCUUUACUGAGACCUAACUGCAUGUAGCCAAGUAAGAUGACAAGUCCAAAACUCCUGCCUGCUGGUAGUGUUGUUAUUCUCCUGAUUAUCCUCCGGCAUGUCAAACACUUCUGUGCUAGAAGGACAGCACAGCCGGCUACGGCGUCUUUCUCUUGUCCUUAAUCAGAAACGUUGAACUGCCCCCUAAUUCCCGAGAGAAAAAGGAAUUCAUUUGAUUUCAGCUAUUUUCACUCCUGAAUGCUAAGCGGCUCUUUCUCCUUCUCUCUCCUCCUGUUGAAAAUGUGUGAGGAGCUCAUGUUUAGGAAAAAAAGCAUAUUAUGUUUUGCAAUUCCCGUAUGAUGCUAAAUCUCAUGUUGUGCAUGAAACCACAGUCAAAUGUCACUGUAGCAGAGGGAUAGGAUGUCAGCGAUAUUCCCUUUCAAUUCAGUGAUCAAAAUAGAGGAUUAGCAGUAUCUUUCCCAGCUUAACGAUACAAAAACCGUGGGACUGGUCUGUGAAAGUAAAGGCAGACAGUGUUGGCAAUGGGAGGAAAGUUCAGUGGGUCACAACUGAAGUUAUCAUUUGAAAAUAAAAGUUCAUUCAUAUUUUCACAUACUUAACAGCACCAGCUUGGGGAGGACAAGACAGAAGUUUUGACAGGGAGUCCGUGAGGGUUAGAAGAAAGACUCACUUCACCUGCAAAAUCCCUUCAAGAUUUUCUUUCUUCCUAAGAAGUGAGUCCAGAGGCUAAAUCCACAACUGGCAACCCUAUUACUAAGCUGAAUUUCACCAAGUCUGAAACUGUCAGAACCAUCCCAGAGAAGAGGUGGCACAGAGGAGGAGCAAGGACACCUGCCUACCGGUGGGGAGCAACCAUUCUAAUGCUAGAAGAGCCAGGUACCCAACCUUAGCUCUACACCAGACUUCCACCACCUACAGAAAUGUGAGUUUACCUGAUACAGGCUCUUGAAAGAUCUCCUAUCUUGUGAAGACUACCAGCUUGUACCUCUCAUUGGAAGCCUACACGUUUAUCACCAGAAGAGCAGAGCAGGGGCUGAAAUGCUGCAUGGACCCUCCCCUGAGCGAGGAGCAGUGUGAGUGGGAUCAGCUCCUAGCUGUGACGGAUGUCCCGAAGACCCCCAUUUCCAACCUGCUCUCAGCUGCCUCAAAAUUCCUCCACUUCAGAAAACUCCAGGUUGGAUUCAAACAAAACACAGCACCGGUGUGAAAGGCCCCUUUGGCUCUAGGAGUGCCAUCACAUCAAGGCUAAGGUGUGGUUCCAUCUGCCCUGGGAUCCCACCCAGUCUUUCUGGUCGUCUCAGCCGAUGUGGUGUCAUUUGGGUUUGACAGCUGACACAUCAAUAAAGCUGGAGCCUGG